UGAAACGUCCAAGGAUGGGCAACUUUAUAG
rnacentral:piRNA from 1 species